rnacentral:hammerhead_ribozyme from 1 species
AUCCUGUUGACGAGUCCCAAGUAGGACGAAACGCGUGUUCUAGAU